UACGUAGGUGGCAAGCGUUGUCCGGAAUUAUUGGGCGUAAAGCGCGCGCAGGCGGUCCUUUAAGUCUGAUGUGAAAGCCCACGGCUCAACCGUGGAGGGUCAUUGGAAACUGGGGGACUUGAGUACAGAAGAGAAGAGUGGAAUUCCACGUGUAGCGGUGAAAUGCGUAGAGAUGUGGAGGAACACCAGUGGCGAAGGCGACUCUUUGGUCUGUAACUGACGCUGAGGCGACGAAAGCGUGGGGAGCAAACAGGA
rnacentral:rRNA from 1 species